rnacentral:rRNA from 1 species
UUUCCAGACUCCUACGGGAGGCAGCAGUGGGGGAUAUUGCACAAUGGGGGGAACCCUGAUGCAGCGACGCCGCGUGGGUGAAGGGGUGCUUCGGCAUGUAAAGCCCUAUCGGCAGGGAAGAAGCAAGACGGUACCUGACUAAGAAGCCCCGGCUAACUACGUGCCAGCAGCCGCGGGAAUACGUAGGGGGCGAGCGUUAUCCGGAUUCACUGGGUGUAAAGGGAGCGUAGACGGAAUUGCAAGUCUGAUGUGAAAAUCCGGGGCCCAACCCCGGAACUGCAUUGGAAACUGUAUUUCUAGAGUGUCGGAGAGGCAAGUGGAAUUCCUGGUGUAGCGGUGAAAUGCGUAGAUAUCAGGAGGAACACCAGUGGCGAAGGCGGCUUGCUGGACGAUGACUGACGUUGAGGCUCGAAAGCGUGGGGAGCAAACAGGAUUAGAUACCCUGGUACA